rnacentral:rRNA from 2 species
AUGGACGAAAGUCUGAUGGAGCAACGCCGCGUGAGUGAAGAAGGGUUUCGGCUCGUAAAACUCUGUUGUUAAAGAAGAACAUAUCUGAGAGUAACUGUUCAGGUAUUGACGGUAUUUAACCAGAAAGCCACGGCUAACUACGUGCCAGCAGCCGCGGUAAUACGUAGGUGGCAAGCGUGUCCGGAUUUAUUGGGCGUAAAGCGAGCGCAGGCGGUUUUUUAAGUCUGAUGUGAAAGCCUUCGGCUUAACCGAAGAAGUGCAUCGGAAACUGGGAAACUUGAGUGCAGAAGAGGACAGUGGAACUCCAUGUGUAGCGGUGAAAUGCGUAGAUAUAUGGAAGAACACCAGUGGCGAAGGCGGCUGUCUGGUCUGUUACUGACGCUGAGGCUCUAAAGUAUGGGUAGCCAACAAGAUUAAAAUACCCUGGUAGUCCAUACCGUAAACGAUGAAUGCUUAGUGUUGGAGGUUUCCGCCCUCAGUGCUGCCGCUACGCAUAAGCAUCCGCCUGGGGAGUACGCGCAAGGCUGAAACUCAAAGGAAUUGACGGG